ensembl:lncRNA
CGACUUUAUUCAACAAUUCCUCUCCUCUGUGUCUCUCUAAAUCAGCGUAGCGCCAUUUUGGCAAAUCUGAGCUGUACGCAGAUGGCGUACGCUCUUCUGUAUCAGCCGCGCCACAAGGAUACAUUUUUUAUGUGUAUUUACGCUUUUGUUUGAAAGCAAAUAAUGCAUUGUGCAGCGCGGCUGACACAGAAUAGCGUACGCAGUUCACGAGUUCAGCUCAGAUUACCCAAAAUGGUGCUACGCUGAUUUGGAGAGACACAGAGGAGAGGAAUUGUUGAAUAAAGUCGUUAUUUUUGUUUUCUUCGUGUACAAAAAGUAUUCUUGUCGUUUCAUAACAUUACAGUUGAAUCACUGAUUGGCAGAUGGAGCAUUCUGACGAUGCUUUUCAUAUUUUCCUGGACCUUGAGUCUCAAGCCUACCGGUUUUCAUCCAAAAUAUCUUAAAUUGUGUUCCGAAGACAAGGGAAGCUUUUAUGGGUUUGGAACGAAAUGGGGGUAAGUGAUUAAUGACAAAAUUUUAUUUUGGGAUGGGGCAACUCUUUAAUGACUUGCAAUAUUGGCAAAUAAAGUUAUACUCAUUUGCUGCUGUGUAACUUUGGAAAGAAAAUGCAUCUGAUUCAUUUUAUGAAAGCUCAUUCUAAAACCAGUUGCUAUAACUGUGCUCUGCUUACAACACUGACAAACAUGUCCUUUGAUUUGGGUAGGGUUUUUACCCUAUGAUUAUCAGUGUCUUCAAAUGUCUGGACAUAUUUUAUUUAGGCUGCUCUUUCAGACACCAGCAUCUAAGGUAUGUUUUAUAUGACCUUGAAUGCCUUUGUGUGAUUAUCUGCAGUUCAGAUGUUGUGAUUAUGUGCACAUAAUUAUGUAAAGCAACUUCUGUCUGCAGAAUAUUUGAUACGCUAUGAUUGGAUACUCCAAAUAUAACAAUGAUUCAUGUCCACAAGCAAAACUUUAUAAGGUUGCUGUAAAAUGAAAUGUUUCAGGACAAUAAUAAUUAUAAUUUACUGCAAUUUGACCUUUACAGUUGGUCUAUAACUUUGCGGAGAACAUAUGAUCAAACUACUUUAAAUGUAUAUCAAUAGGAAAGCUUAACUGUUCAGCAUACAUUUACAAUGCUAGAUGUUUAGAAAUUGUUGGGAUGUUUUACACCAUUGUUCUACGUUGUGACAUUAAAGGAAUUUGAUAGCCUUCAGGUAUUUCAGUGGCAUGUUAACAUGUUAGACUUUGGCACUCCUUCCAAAAAUAAUGUUUUAUAUAACCUGCUGAAAUGUUUUAUUGCAUUUAUAAUGGUGUACAAUAAAAAGAAAACACUUUUAUGA